GACGAACGCUGGCGGCGUGCCUAAUACAUGCAAGUAGAACGCUGAAGCUUGGUGCUUGCACCGAGCGGAUGAGUUGCGAACGGGUGAGUAACGCGUAGGUAACCUGCCUGGUAGCGGGGGAUAACUAUUGGAAACGAUAGCUAAUACCGCAUAAAAUGGAUUAUCGCAUGAUAAUCCAUUGAAAGGUGCAAAUGCAUCACUACCAGAUGGACCUGCGUUGUAUUAGAUAGUUGGUGGGGUAACGGCUCACCAAGGCGACGAUACAUAGCCGACCUGAGAGGGUGAUCGGCCACACUGGGACUGAGACACGGCCCAGACUCCUACGGGAGGCAGCAGUAGGGAAUCUUCGGCAAUGGACGGAAGUCUGACCGAGCAACGCCGCGUGAGUGAAGAAGGUUUUCGGAUCGUAAAGCUCUGUUGUAAGAGAAGAACGAGUGUGAGAGUGGAAAGUUCACACUGUGACGGUAUCUUACCAGAAAGGCG
rnacentral:rRNA from 1 species